rnacentral:rRNA from 1 species
AUGGCUCCUAAGGCGGCCAAGGCCCCUGUGACUUGCAAUUGGGUUCCAUCCACAGUAACCGCGGCCAAGCACCCUGUGACUUGCAAUUGGGUUCCAUCCACAGUAACCAAAAGCAAACUUGCCGAGUUUGUAAAGUCUGGCCAUCUGCCAAAAAAGGAGGCCAUGUCCUAUCGUGCCCCUCGUCCGUCUGAGGAGAUACCUCAACCCAAAGAUGGGGAGGUAGUAGUUUUCACAGACCAUAUGAACCGGGGAUUUUCCCCUCCCGGCUCAAAAUUCUUCAGGGAAGUUUUGGAUUUCUUUGACCUGAAGCCUCAAGACAUUGGACCCAAUUCCAUGUCAAAUCUGUGUAACUUCCAAGUCUUCUACGAGGUAUACUUACGAGAGGAACCAAGUCUGCUGCUGUUCAGAUAA